AGGUUUCCGUAGGUGAACCUGCGGAAGGAUCAUUACCGAGCUAUGCCCGCAAGGNCGGACCUCNCANNCUUUGUUUACNCUCCGUUNUGNUGCUNUGGCGGNCGCUCUCACGGCCGUCGGCUCCCCGCUGGUGUGUGCCCNCCGAAGAUCCUCUAACCCUAACCUGUUUCUGUGUUUGUCCGAGUCCUAUAAUAUUAAAACUUUUAACAAUGGAUCUCGUNGCUCUGGCAUCGAUGAAGAACGCAGCGAAAUGCGAUAUGUAAUGUGAAUUGCAGAAUUUAGUGAAUCAUCGAAUCUUUGAACGCACAUUGCGCCCCUUGUAUUCCGAGGGCAUGCCUGUCCGAGCGUCAUAUACACCAUUCAAGCUCUGCUUGGUAUUAGGCCGUGCCAGCGAUGGCAGCCUUAAAUUUAGUGGCGGCACCGUGGGUCCCGAGCGUAGUACUCACCUCGCUACGGGUCCUGGCAGCUGGCGACCAGCAACCCCAACUUCUUAAGGUUGACCUCGGAUCAGGUAGGAAUACCCGCUGAACUUAAGCAUAUCAAUAAGCGGAGGAAAAGAAACCAACAGGGAUUGCCUUAGUAACGGCGAGUGAAGCGGCAACAGCUCAAAUUUGAAAUCUGGUCCUUCUAGGGCCCGAGUUGUAAUUUGGAGAAGAUGCUUCGGGUGUGGUGCCGGUCUAAGUUCCUUGGAACAGGACGUCGCAGAGGGUGAGAAUCCCGUACGUGAUUGCGCGCCUACGUCUAUGUGAAGCUCUUUCGACGAGUCGAGUUGUUUGGGAAUGCAGCUCUAAAUGGGUGGUAAAUUUCAUCUAAAGCUAAAUACUGGCCAGAGACCGACAGCGCACAAGUAGAGUGAUCGAAAGAUGAAAAGCACUUUGGAAAGAGAGUCAAACAGUACGUGAAAUUGUUAAAAGGGAAGCGCUUGCAACUAGACUCGCGCGCGGCCGAUCAUCCAGGGUUCAUCCCGGUGCACUCGGUCGUGCUCGGGCCAGCAUCAGCUCUAGCGGUCGGAUAAAGGCCGCGGGAACGUAGCUCCUCUCGGGGAGUGUUAUAGCCCGCGGUGCCAUGCGACCUGCUGGGGCUGAGGACCGCGCUUUGGCUAGGAUGCUGGCGUAAUGGUUGUAAGCGACC
rnacentral:rRNA from 1 species